GAUUUAUCACCUUUUUCCUGCAGUGAGGUCACAGUCCUGUGUUUGUGACAUAGCAGUCAGUUGCCAUGGAGAUGAUUGCUUUAUCACAAACUCCUCUUUUCAAUGACUUCACAGCAAGGUUAUAAAGAAGCAGAUGGGCUGUGAAGGAGA
rfam:Sarcophilus harrisii ctg7180002269587, whole genome shotgun sequence.